ACGCGGCGGCCUGGAGGCACGCGAGGAUAAGCGCAGGAGGCUUGUUGGUAACCUCAAGGCCUGGGCUGCGCCACUUGUCCUGGUGGCGACAGCGCCCGGGUCACUUAGGAGAGUGCCCAGAGUGUCCCGGUUCACACGGGAGCCCCUUCCAUGGCUGAAGCGGCAAUAAUGCAAACCACAUUGCAGAGGAUCUUCUAAUUUCCCUUCGCACUGCCCUGGAGGAAUGCUGCAGGCAUCAGUUUCCCCGUACCCCAGGGAAGUCCCUGGGCCCCAGGGGCAGUGCAAUCCGCAGCCCAUGGGGAGUCUCAUCUGAGCUCUGGCCACAUCAGGAAGGAAGUCUGGGAGGACAGAACCCAGCUGGGGUGUUGCCCUAAAUUAAGGUAUUACUUAGAGGUGGAUCAGCUACCUAGGGCAGCCUCAGAGACUGUCUCUCGCAGACGGAUCUCACAGAUGCCUUUGCCUCGUGGGGCCAGAAGACCCGAGAGAGGCCAUCCAACCUGAUGACACUGGGUCCCCAGGUCAGCCCCAGGAUGCUCCCACUGGACACUCUGCUGUGGGAACCAUGACACGUUUUGGCCCCAGUGUCUUCAUCCUUGGAGGCGGCUGCAAGGCUUCACAUCCCAGAUUGGGGGACACAACUGGCCCCUCCAAUCUGCUCCUCACCCAUGCCAGCCCCCGUCUUCCCAGACGAAGACAGUGUGGUCCCCUAUUCAUUGUGUGUCUACAACAGAAAUCCUGGGUUCCUAUUUGACCAAGAUCAAAGGACCAGGCAUUCCAAAUCAUUGGAUAUUCUAAGUACCUGUUUUUUAUUCCAAAAGGGGCUUUUUUAAAAAAUCUUAUGUGUCUACAAAGGUCUCCGAGAAAAUCUCCAGAACAUUCAGACUACUGAUAUUCACAAGAUAACAAGCUGACAGAAGGGAAAUAUCUCAAAGACAGUGGCCGGAUAGAGGAUACUGGAUGUACAGGUUAAUAAAUUAGCCUUCCAACUGGCUAAACUGAGACUGGCCCAGAAAACAGUAAAAGCCAUCAUUUAUUGAGCCAGGCACUGUGGGCGCCUGAGGCACAGGUGGGAUGAGACCAGCUGAGCUGCAUGGACAGCAAAGGCACAGGAUCACAGAAGGGACCCGCCAUCCUGGACGGUUCAAGGCCAAAGAACAGAGCGCUGAUCGCUUCCUUUCCCAGAGACUUGGCUUCUCUGUGGACAGCAGAAGCCGAGGAGCAGGCCACCUUUGAGGGACCUCCGGUGCUCCUAUCAUCAGACCGGGAGGCCCGGUGUCUGGUGUGGCAGGAGACCUUGUUCAAGGCUGAGCAGGCUGCAGCUGGGGCCAGUGCAAUUCCUGGUGCUUGAAGGUCACUAUGAGGAGGCUCUAGCUGGCGGAAUCCAGGACAGCUGCUGACCCUUGAGCCACAAGGGUUUGAACUGCAUGGGUCCACCUGUAUCUGCAUUUAUUUCA